rnacentral:rRNA from 1 species
UACGGGGGGGGCAAGCGUUGUUCGGAAUUACUGGGCGUAAAGGGCUCGUAGGUUGUCAACUAAGUCAUACGUGAAAUCCCUCGGCUUAACCGGGGAACUGCGCCUGAUACUGGUUGACUUGAGUUUGGGAGAGGGACGCGGAAUUCCAGGUGUAGCGGUGAAAUGCGUAGAUAUCUGGAGGAACACCGGUGGCGAAGGCGGCGUCCUGGACCAAUACUGACACUGAGGAGCGAAAGCCAGGGGAGCAAACGGG